AUGAGGACACUGGUUCAGGGAUUCAGAGCUGCAAGAUAGGUGAUUUUAAUAGUAAAACAAACUAUAAACAUAAAUAAGCUUCUGAUAUAAGAGACUUCUUUCUGUGAGUAUCUUAUGGACAGUGAUCUUUGCCUGACUUAGAUCAUCAGUGUUACUGCUGCUACUGGAGCUGAAUGAAUAAUUUUCAAUGAAUGAGGUGUCUGGUGGAUCUAGCUUCUUUCUGCUUGAUUUAUUUAUUCAGUGGGGUCCUCAGAGUUCCUGUUUUUACAGACUCCUGAGUUCUUGAGUCCUUAACAUCAUAACCUCCAACAGAAAGCAACUUGAAUUGGGUCUCUCAGACACCACAAACUCAACCUGUGAAACUGUUCUGUAGGAGCAGUGCUGCAUGAAUGGCGAUAGUGACUGGACUACAACAGCUCCUCACACCAUGUUUGUCUUCUUUUCUUUUGUUUAACUUUUCAACAGGAUUAAAAUUAAUAGAGCAAUUUCACAUGUAGGCUGCACAUUUUUAAGAUUAAAAUAAAUUUUAGAAAAUUCUCAUUGUAAAGAAUAACAAGUAAAAAAAAUGUGGUUUGGCAUUAGCAACAGGGUCCUUUUAAUCUGCAUUUAAAUAAAGGUAUUGACUAUGUAAAACACAAGGCCGCCUCCAGCAGCACAUAAAUAAGUGUUUGCCAGGUAUAGUAUUCGAUGUGGGCUCAUACUUAAGAUUUUGAAGGCACACAUCAGUAAAUCUUUGGAUUGCCAACCAUUUGUUGUUUGGUUCAGUUCUAUUGUAUUUUUUUUUAUAUUUUACCUGCCUUUAGAAGGGGCCUGAGCACACUUGUUUAUAGAUCAUUAAAUAAUGAAACAAUUCAUACAUUUGUAGCAGAAAACUUCUGAUGUAUUUUAUCAGGUAAAAUAAAAUCCUGGCAUUUGCCUGAAGUUUUCCUUCACCUUAAAUAAACAGAUGCCCAGUAUGACUGAGAAUAUAAUACCCUAAAGUUUAAGACUGGUUUGUAAACACAGUCCCUAGUGUCUACUAUUGAUCUUUUGCUAUUUUAAUGCAUUUUUACUGACCGACAUGUCCUGUGGUAAAGAAUAUUGCCUAAAUUAGUUAUCUGAUUGGUUCUUUUGAUUAAUGAUGGGACUGUGCUUCAUUACACAUGACAACAUGAUCAGAAUAAUCACUACAGCCAUAGAAGCUGGGACUGGCAUUUUUUAUUCCUUCAUUUUUAAAGUUCAUUUAUAAAAUUAUUUAAUGUAUACGUCCUAAGUUGUAAUUUAUUUACAUGACACUUUUUUCGAUGGGAACUGUUGUACUGUGUCACAAAUGGCUAAGAAAACAAGGUAAACUAGAUGUACAAAUCAAUGUCUUCUGGCUCAAGGGGAAAAAAACAUAAUCAAGAUUCAAGAGCUGACCUUGUCCAAAGUCCAACUUGUCACACAACAAACACUGAGGCACCCAACAAAUCAUUAGGAUCAGCAGCAUGUAUUCAAAGGAAUGUUUAAAUGAUAUUAUUUCUUGCUUGAGUUUUUACUGAAGCUUCAGAACUGGAGUGAGUGUGCGAUUUGACACCACGUCUGCAACUUCUAGCUGGCCAUAAGCCACACCCAACAGAAGGCAAAAAAUGGGAAGCUAUGGCUGAAAUAACUCUCCUGUGCCCCAAGCAAGGCGUCUUUGCUUAGAAAUGAAGGGUACUAUGUGACAAAGCUUGUUUAUUGCUCAACUAAGUAAGGACUCUGAGGCCUGGUUUGAAUCAUUACUGGUAUAUGACUGUUAUUCACAAGGGAACAUCAACCUCUGAAAUGGUCUAAGCCAAUCUAACAAGAUCUAACAAGUCCGGGCAGCGAAGAGGCUACUUGUUUAAGUAGCCAUCAUGUUAGGCACUCACAGAAGCACUAAUUGUCCUGGCUUAGGUAUCUCUCUUCCACAGUGCUGACUGUCCCAUUUGGAGGACCAAAACCAGAUGUGGUGUUUAGCACCCACUUAGCAGUUCACUAUCUGCCAUAGCCCAUAACACCUUUACCUGCUUUGAGGUUCUUGAUUGCUUUUUAGUAGGUCAUUGUGGGAUUGAUCUGUUUAAAUUUAUAAGGACAUGCAUUCCAUCUUAUGUCAUGUUGAUGAAUGAUUCAAAAUUUUAAAUGGCAAUGCAACAUUUAAUGUUUUGAAAAAUGUUUGAAUGGUGUCAUGCACAGAAUAAAUGGCAGCUUUCAUUUUCUUUCUUCAAAAUUCCCUGGCAGCCUGUUUACAUGAUGUUGACAGACAUUUUAGCAUUUGCCAGAGAAAUAAUGUGAAGGAUUGGAUCCUUGCCAUAUAAUGGUUUCCUUUCUAUGGCAAGUGUUGAAACAAGUAUGUGUUUGCAUAGGAUACACACACAUACAUUUUAUACUUAUUUCCAAACAAAAUUUGUUUGUUUGCUGUUAUGGUUACAGAAAUCUCUUUUCCAUCAGCACUAUUUCCAAAAGGGGUGGAAGCUAAGAAUUCAGGAGAGUCUGGUAUACAACCCAGACCUGAACUAGUGCAAUUAAUAAUAUGUAACCAUUACAACAUCAUAGGAAUGGUCUCACUGACCCAGCCCCUGAACAACCUCAACUUUGCCCUGAUAUUGGUUUUAGAUUUUUAUGUAAAAUUCAAAUAUUACAUUUUGGAAUGGAUUAUACCAAUGGAGUUACCAGGUGGAGAACUGAAUAUUUUCUUAUUACUUUGUGUAAGACAGCACCCAGAAGCCUCAGUUUGGGAACAGAGCCCUACUGUGCUUGAUACAGUCCAGUAUAUGUAACACACGUAAUAUAUAUCAGUUGCCUACUGCAGGGUAGGGUAGAUAGAUCAACUCUCUUCAUGGGUAACUUCAAAGUAACUGCAUGGGUACAGUUAUUCCACAUGCAGCCAAUUGCAGGAUCAAAGUUGAAGUUGUUCUAUGUAGUUAAGCAUGGUGCUUUAUUAGGCCAACAAAAUCAUUCCCCCGGAAGAACUGUGGCUUUAUGAUGGUGAACUAAGAGUUGAUUUUAGCAUGUGUCCAGUCUGUUGUUUGGUGGCUAAUAUUAUUUAUCUAAUUAUGGUUACUUGGGACUUUUUGCUCAUGCGAAAAGACAGCUGUUAAAUGGAACUUGUUUAGUCAUACUUAAAUUUCCAUUGAUUUCAUAUAGUUAUAUAAAAGCUUGGACUGGGUCCAGUCUUUAUACAUGAAAGAAUAAGGUACUAAGGAUUUGUUUUAAUACAUAGAGAGAAAGUUGUAUGACUUUCUACUUCAUAAUAGUUUGGGGGUGUUUUGUUUAGAAACCAUCAGAAGUAAAUCAGACAGUCGCAUAUACUUGAGUGUCUUGCUGAAUUGGGGCUUAUAUUGAAAACUGUUGCAAACUUACUGUAUAGCUCACUGUGUUUUAGUGUUAAGGAGUAUAUGAAAUAUAUACUAACAGUGGGGUUCCAUGCUGUAAUUAAAAGCAAAGUUAGUUUGUAGGUGCUGCAUGUGUGAAUAAAGGGGACGGCAGUUUUUUCUUGAACUAUGAAUAAAAACUAAAAUAAAGCAUGCUUCUUUACUUCCAGUUAAAGAGUCAGUUUUUCUCUUCAAAAGGUUUAUUGUAUAAAUACAAACACAAAAUCAGUUAUCAAUUAUGUAAUAUAUAUGUAUUAGUGAAAACUUAAAAGUGGGCAUUUUGGAGCUCUUCAUAUAGCAUUCAAUCCUUUAUACUGUAUAGAAUUAGAUAGCAUAGAUGUUGAAUAUGCAAGUUGUAUGUUAAUAUGGUUAAAUGACUAGUGAAUUGCCCAACGCAAUCAAUUGAAAUAUUCAACAACUUUGUGUUGAAGUUGAAGGAAAUUAUUACCUUGAGUCUGCCAAAUCCAUGAUACAACUUUGCAUUUGCAAUAAUGUGUGCCUUAUUUAGCAUUCAAAAACAUAUAUAUAGUUUACUUUAAUGAAGUAAGAUUAGUCCAUUAAGGAGAGACUUGUUACAACUGCAGAAUGUAAUAAUCUGCGCUAUAUAGGAGCUUUAAAUGCUGGUUGGAGGAUUUUACUUUUUUGUUCAUAAUGCACAUUUAAAAAAAACUGCAA